rnacentral:lncRNA from 1 species
CACAAACUGUUAACUUGCCACUCCAAGUUCAACAAGAAAGCAAAACAUCCAGCUCGACAGAACCAUGAUGGCAAACAAGUACUCGGCUAGCUCGGUUCGGCUGAUGCUGGUCCUCCUGGUUUUACUGGUUUUCAUUGGUGGCAUCCUCGGGCAACAAGGUGGACCGUCCACCUGCGACAACUGUAAGCUAGCACUCGAUGUUGUUGUAUUUGCAUAAAUAAACACACAUGAAAAUUUUGUUGUCUUUCUAUCUAACUUGUUUCUGUUCAUCAUUUUCCGCCAGCUGGACCGGUUCAGAAGAGCUGCCCGCCAAUCCGUGGUGGCUCAUAAGUAUGAGAUAGACGAUUUCUACGCAGCGGGAUUUGGUAGGAUCUCGCAUUGGCCGGCGUAGGAAGCUUUCUAUUCUAUGUAAACGAUAAUAUAUAUGAUCUUGAGGUGUUGGUGUGUGUAUGUUUGUAUUUUCACCUGGUUUAUAAAUAAAUAAUAUGGCUUCGAAAGAUUUAGAUGCUUUCGUUCGAUUCCUUGCACCACAUAUUAU